AGACACCAUAGCAGCAGUGAGAUGAGGAGUGCCAUCUACUCCACCGCACGUCUGUACUGAGAGAAGGAAGAAGGGAGAGAAGGAGCUGCACAACCACAGCAUUCCAAAGGAUAUCAUCUAAUCCUAAACCCACGUCAGCACUGAACUCCUCCUGAGACAAAUCUUCAAGUCAGCAAUGGAACAGAAGGCGAAUGAGUGUCCCACCACCUCUCCUCAGAAGCGCAUGAAGAACCGGUCCAAAUCCACAGAGGAGAUGCAACAGACAAAGAAGGCCUUUUCCUCACAAAAAUCACUCCCGGGCAGACCAGAGCUGGAGAAAGUGAAGGAGUCUCCUGACUCUGACACACCGUCGUCCUCCAUGGAGGAGCUAAAGUGAUAAAUGGAAGGACAGUUCAAGUUACAAGAUCGUCAUAAACACAACAUACAUAACAUGUACAUAUGAACACAGGGAAACAUACAAAAUAUUAUAAAAGAUAAUAGUGAACUACAUUGGGCCUAUAAAACACACAAGCAAUGAUUUUAUGAUUUGGUUAAAGGACAUUGAAGACACACACAAACUCACACACACACUGAAACAAUCACUUGUAAACACCCGUGAUGAUUCCGUUUCACUGUACUGUCU